GCAGGUGUGGUCCAAUGGUAGAAUGUCGCCUUGCCAAGGCGAAGACGCGGGUUCGAUUCCCGUCACUUGCUCCA
rnacentral:tRNA from 1 species